rnacentral:rRNA from 1 species
AACGAACGCUGGCGGCAUGCCUAACACAUGCAAGUCGAACGCGUGUAGCGAUACACGAGUGGCGGACGGGUGAGUAACGCGUGGGAACCUGCCCAAUGGUAGGGAAUAACUGCGGGAAACUGCAGCUAAUACCCUAUGCUCCCUACGGGGGAAGGAUUCAUCGCCAUUGGAGGGGCCCGGCCGUCGGAUUAGCUAGUUGGCGGGGUAAGUGGCCC